rnacentral:rRNA from 1 species
UACGUAGGUGGCAAGCGUUGUCCGGAAUUACUGGGCGUAAAGCGCGCGUAGGCGGCUUUGCAAGUCGGGUGUGAAAUCCCCAGGCUUAACCUGGGAACUGCAUUCGAGACUGCAUUGCUAGAGUAUGGGAGAGGGAAGUGGAAUUUCCGGUGUAGCGGUGAAAUGCGUAGAUAUCGGAAGGAACACCGGUGGCGAAGGCGGAUCUCUGGGCCGAUACUGACGCUGAGGAGCGAAAGCGUGGGGAGCGAACAGG